rfam:Gossypium hirsutum cultivar TM-1 chromosome 24, whole genome shotgun sequence
UUGUUAAAAAUUAAUUUAUUUGUACAGUUAAAAACUAAUAUGAAUGACAAAAUAAUUGAAUAGUGACACAUGGCGUGCCAUGUAUACCUCAUGUUGAUGUACAUGAACCAAUUUUCAAUCAUAAAAAUAGAUAAAAUUUUAAUAA